rnacentral:rRNA from 1 species
UACGGAGGGUGCGAGCGUUAUCCGGAAUUACUGGGUUUAAAGGGUGCGUAGGCGGCUUGUUAAGUCAGGAGUGAAAGUUUGCGGCUCAACCGUAGAAUUGCUUUUGAUACUGGCAGGCUAGAAUUAGGAUGAGGUUAGCGGAAUGUGGCAUGUAGCGGUGAAAUGCAUAGAUAUGCCAUAGAACACCAAUUGCGAAGGCAGCUGGCUAGACCUAUAUUGACGCUGAGGCACGAAAGCGUGGGGAGCGAACAGG